AUACACAUGAGCUCGAUUCUGGAAGAGCAUUUGCCUGCUAAGUAAAAAAACCGGGUUCAAAUCCCGGGUGUGGACU